CUACACAUGCAGUCGAGCGGAACGAGUUCACUGAACCUUCGGGGGACGUUAACGGCGUCGAGCGGCGGACGGGUGAGUAAUGCCUGGGAAAUUGCCCUGAUGUGGGGGAUAACCAUUGGAAACGAUGGCUAAUACCGCAUAAUAGCUUCGGCUCAAAGAGGGGGACCUUCGGGCCUCUCGCGUCAGGAUAUGCCCAGGUGGGAUUAGCUAGUUGGUGAGGUAAGGGCUCACCAAGGCGACGAUCCCUAGCUGGUCUGAGAGGAUGAUCAGCCACACUGGAACUGAGACACGGUCCAGACUCCUACGGGAGGCAGCAGUGGGGAAUAUUGCACAAUGGGCGCAAGCCUGAUGCAGCCAUGCCGCGUGUGUGAAGAAGGCCUUCGGGUUGUAAAGCACUUUCAGUCGUGAGGAAGGUAGUGUGUUUAAUAGAUGCAUUAUUUGACGUUAGCGACAGAAGAAGCACCGGCUAACUCCGUGCCAGCAGCCGCGGUAAUACGGAGGGUGCGAGCGUUAAUCGGAAUUACUGGGCGUAAAGCGCAUGCAGGUGGUGUGUUAAGUCAGAUGUGAAAGCCCGGGGCUCAACCUCGGAAUUGCAUUUGAAACUGGCAGACUAGAGUACUGUAGAGGGGGGUAGAAUUUCAGGUGUAGCGGUGAAAUGCGUAGAGAUCUGAAGGAAUACCGGUGGCGAAGGCGGCCCCCUGGACAGAUACUGACACUCAGAUGCGAAAGCGUGGGGAGCAAACAGGAUUAGAUACCCUGGUAGUCCACGCCGUAAACGAUGUCUACUUGGAGGUUGUGGCCUUGAGCCGUGGCUUUCGGAGCUAACGCGUUAAGUAGACCGCCUGGGGAGUACGGUCGCAAGAUUAAAACUCAAAUGAAUUGACGGGGGCCCGCACAAGCGGUGGAGCAUGUGGUUUAAUUCGAUGCAACGCGAAGAACCUUACCUACUCUUGACAUCCAGAGAACUUUCCAGAGAUGGAUUGGUGCCUUCGGGAACUCUG
rnacentral:rRNA from 1 species